GUCGAUCUCCACCACUCCCUCGAUCUGCUUGUUGCAUUCAUGCAUCUCCUUGUCAACAACUCAUGUUAGCCUAGCCUAUCCCUGAAGAGAGUGAUCCGACUGUACUCUCUUUUUCCCGGGACUUGGACUGAAACCGACUGGAUUACUCCAGAGUCCUAGAGGUUGUUAGCACUACUCUCGCCACAUCUCCUGUGCAACGAUGCAGCUCACCUUGCUUCAUCACCAUCAUGGGCACUCCAGCUUUUGUUCCGAUGCAGCGUCAGCUCUUGGCACUGUGGCACGCCACCACACACCCACCUCGUGUCUCUUUACAGUUUCGUUUUCUGGAGAGAAAAAGAGAGUGGCCAUGAUUUGCAUUGGGUGAAUCAGCUGCUGAGUGGCCAUGAUUUGAAGAGCAGCAUUAUUAUUAUGCUGAUUGUUGGAGUUCCCACUCGCAAGUCGGUCGCGCAAACACAGGUCUUUCUUAUUACAUUGCAUUCGUU
rnacentral:lncRNA from 1 species